rnacentral:rRNA from 1 species
CCUACGGGUGGCAGCAGUCGAGAAUCAUUCACAAUGGGGGAAACCCUGAUGGUGCGACGCCGCGUGGGGGAAUGAAGGUCUUCGGAUUGUAAACCCCUGUCAUGUGGGAGCAAAUUAAAAAGAUAGUACCACAAGAGGAAGAGACGGCUAACUCUGUGCAGGAGCCGCGGUAAUUCAGAGGUCUCAAGCGUUGUUCGGAAUCACUGGGCGUAAAGCGGGCGGAGGCUGGUUUGUAAGUCGGGUGUGAAAGGCGCGGGCUCAACCCGCGGACGGCACAUGAUACUGCGAGACUAGAGUAAUGGAGGGGGAACCGGAAUUCUCGGUGUAGCAGUGAAAUGCGUAGAUAUCGAGAGGAACACUCGUUGCGAAGGCGGGUUCCUGGACAUUAACUGACGCUGAGGCACGAAGGCCAGGGGAGCGAAAGGGAUUAGAUACCCUAGUAGUC